rnacentral:rRNA from 1 species
ACUAUUUUAUUUUUACUGUAAAGAAGAAUAAUUAUUUUUUUGUUAAUUACCUUUUGCAUAAUGGUUUAAUAAUUUAAUAAUUGUUUAAUGUUUCCCGAAAUUAGAAGAUCUAAUUUUAUUAUAAUUUUAGAUAAUAAAUAUAAUGUUUCAUAAUUAUAAUUAUAAAUAUAAUUAGGGGUGAAAGGCUAGUCAAUUCUAAAGUUAUCUGGAAUAAUUUAAAAUGUAUUUAGUACAGAAUAAUGUUUGAAUAAAAAAAUGUUGAGGUUUUUUUAUUAUAGAAUAAUUUAUUAUUUAUUUUUAUGAACUAACAUUCUAAUAAAAAUUUUAAAAUUAUUAUUUUUACAAUUACAAUCUAUUUAGUAAAAUUAUAUAUCUAAAAAUUUUUUUAGAAUUUAAUUAUGUUAAAAUUAGUAUAAAAUUUUAUUUUUUUAUAAGGAACUCGGCAAUUAAUUUAUUCAUCUGUUUAUCAAAAACAUAGCCUUAUGUAGUAUAUAUAAGGUACUACCUGCCCAUUGAGAAUUUUUAACGGCCGCAGUACUUUGACUGUGCUAAGGUAGCAUAAUAAAUUGACUUUUAAUUGGGGCCUUGAAUGAAAGGAUAUAUGGAUAAUUUCUGUCUUAUAUAAAUUUAUUAUAAUUUACUUAAAAGGUGAAAAUUCCUUUAAUUUAUUUAAAUAGACGAGAAGACCCUAGGAGUUUAAAAAUUUGUUGGGGCGACAGUAUAGCAAUUACUAACCUAUAUAUAUUUUAUUUUUAUUUAACGAAAAAUUUUAAUAAUAAUUUAACUACCCUAGGGAUAACAGCAUAAUUUUUAAAAAGUUUGUGACCUCGAUGUUGGA